GCCUCUUUAGCUCAGCUGGUAGAGCAACGCAUUCGUAAUGCGUAGGUCGAGGGUUCAAAUCCCUUGAGAGGCU
rnacentral:tRNA from 1 species